rnacentral:rRNA from 1 species
GACGAACGCUGGCGGCGUGCUUAACACAUGCAAGUCGAACGGAAAGGCCUCUUUCGGGGGGUACUCGAGUGGCGAACGGGUGAGUAACACGUGAGUAACCUGCCCUUGACUUUGGGAUAACUUCAGGAAACUGGGGCUAAUACCGGAUAGGAGCUCCUGCUGCAUGGUGGGGGUUGGAAAGUUUCGGCGGUUGGGGAUGGACUCGCGGCUUAUCAGCUUGUUGGUGGGGUAGUGGCUUACCAAGGCUUUGACGGGUAGCCGGCCUGAGAGGGUGACCGGCCACAUUGGGACUGAGAGACGGCCCAGACUCCUACGGGAGGCAGCAGUGGGGAAUAUUGCACAAUGGGUGGAAGCCUGAUGCAGCAACGCCGUGGGCGGGAGGACGGCCUUCGGGUUGUAAACCGCUUUCGCUCAUGACGAAGCUUUGUGUGACGGUAGUGGGUAAAGAAGCACCGGCUAACUACGUG